AAUACCGCAUACGUCCUACGGGAGAAAGCAGGGGACCUUCGGGCCUUGCGCUAUCAGAUGAGCCUAGGUGGGAUUAGCUAGUUGGUGAGGUAAUGGCUCACCAAGGCGACGAUCCGUAACUGGUCUGAGAGGAUGAUCAGUCACACUGGAAGUGAGACACGGUCCAGACUCCUACGGGAGGCAGCAGUGGGGAAUAUUGGACAAUGGACGAAAGCCUGAUCCAAACGUGCCGCGUGUGUGAAGAAGGUCUUCGGA
rnacentral:rRNA from 1 species